CAAACACUGCAGUAUUUAGGUCAGUGCAGGAGGCAAAACAAAUAUAUAUAGUUUGAAAACCAAAGUCAAACUGAGCAGUUAGGAUUCAUAUCCAAGCAGACAGACAAAGGUCAAUCCUCCCAUUUCUCUGUGCAACAAAGUAGUGUCACCUACUUCACCAAGGAGCAAGAGUGUGGCUGACAACCCCAAAGACCAUCAGAAAUGGAAAUUCAUUCACUGCUUUUGCAAAGAGAAGCAGCUGGGCAGUACUGAAGUAUUUUCCUCAGCACACAGUUUUGUUGUUCCCUGGAACUGGGAAGGGAUGAGCAAACAAUGAAGGACUGAGGAGCAGUGAUUAAAGGGCUGCCCUUCUUAACAACUGAAAAUAAAAUUUUGGAGGAAUGAUUUGGAAUGAAUCUGAGGAAACAAGAGGGCAAGAAACUUGAGGGAUCCAAGAAACAGGCUCAUCUUCUUCCUGACCAAGCUGACUGGGAAAUGCUAACUGUAAUUAUGUGAAAAUGAUACAGCUGAUGGAUCUCUAGUAAUAACAGCCUGAAAUAUUACCCAAGUCUACCCAGAGAGUAAGAGCAAGAAGAAACACAAAAGUGCAUGAAUUGGGCCCUCUUGGGUUGGGGUACGUACGGUACCAUGAGGUACAGCCCUCCAACCGGACUCGGUGGCGCUGAUCACAGCCCUCUGAGCUUGGACAGUCGGCCAGUUCUCCAUCUGCCUCACUGACCAUUCAUCAAUCCCACGUCCUAAGCUUCUUUAGAAGGAUGUUGUGAGAGAGAGUGUCAUAAGCCUUGCUGAGGUCAAGGUACACAACAUCCAUUUCUCCUCCCCUCGUCUACCCGGAUGGUGAUGACAUUGCAGAAGGCUGCCAGUUUGGCUGAGCAUGGUUUCCCCUUGGUGAAUCCAUGUUGACUACUCCUGAUAACCUUCUUCUCUUCUGUUUGCUUGGAUAUGGCAUCCAAAAUAAGCUGGUCCAUCAUUUUACAUUGAACUUUAUAUGCCAGGGUAUCAGAUAUGCUUCCAUCCAAAGGAUUUCAUCAGUUCCCCAUAAUGUGAAAGUAGAAGAACAUCUUUCCUGUAUUAAAAAUAUUAGGAAUUUAAUCCAUCAGAAUUUACUCCUUGUGAAAGAAACAACUUCUUCCAUUUGCAUCAUCCCUACUUGAGAUUUUUAAGCAUCCUUAAACAGCCAUUCUUUGUACCAGAUGACAAUCUGAACUCUGCACCCAACCUUGGCAUCUGCGGUCAUGACAUCAACAAGGUCAAAGGGUGAUGGCCAGAUACAAAGCAGUCUGCGGGUCCUUCACACGUGGGUUAACCAACAUGGCUCGCUCGAGCUUUCUUCAGAGGCGUGGAAUCAGGACUCCGUGCCCUUGCCAGAAGGAAGGGAAGUGGAGCAGAGGUGCAGUCCGAGGGAGAAGACUUGCGAGCCCCGAAGGGAGCAGGGCCGUGCCGGGCCGCGAGUGCCUCCCGCCCGCGACAGCACCAUGGAGAGCGCCCGGGGAGCCGCGCCGCACCGCAGAGUACCGGACCGUACAGCAAAAUGGCCGCUGCUCCGCGUCUCGCCGUGCAAGUGGGCUCACGCGGGCUGGGGCCAGCGAGCUGGUAGGAACGUGUUCCUGCCCGCACCUUCCAGCCAGCUCGGAGGGAAAUCGAUCUGCUCUCUUUCCACAAGUCAGCAGUGUGUGUAAAGGGUAUGCAGCAAGCCACUAAGUCUGCAGUUGCUAUUCUCUACGAACCAAGGUUUGGUUGUCCCCAAACAAAGCAACACCAUUAGAGCACUUAAAUAAAUACAUGCACAAAUAAAUCUGGCUCUGCGUUCAUCCGUAGAUACUUGGCUAGGUUAAAGUCAGCCUCUGAGACAGCAACCCUGAUGCACUUCCAAGAGUGAUGAAACUGCUGCUCGGGUGGUUUCACUCAAUUUCUCAUAAUCAAAUAUAUCUUUCAAGGCAAUAAAUAAGUAUAAGAAAUAUCUAACCUCAGAAAUGAAAGUCCAACAAACAAAAAGACCAAAAAGAAAAAAAAAAAAGCCACGCUCAGAAGAAGAGUUUGCAAAUAUUUCUGAACUCUCAUUUCAAAAAUGACAGGAGCUAAUUGUUGCUUUGGUCGUGCUGCUUGUAUCCUGAAUGUUAAAAGGAAUUAAUAGGAAAAGGUAUCAAUUUGUCACAACAGUGCUAAUUAAUGUUUUACAUUUUUUUUCUCUCUUUUAAUAGAUAAUUUGCUGUAAUGAGUAUAUCAGGGCUAAGUGAGAAUGGGGCUGCAAUAGUGUUUUUCUCAAAUUUCUGAAGUUAUUUAACCUACUCUCAGUAUUAACCUACUGCAGGGACCCUGCUUUAGCUGGGGAGUUGGACUCAAACUCCGACCGCUACCAUUUUGUGGUUCUGUGAUUCAUGAUGCAUGAAGAUUCAAAUGAAAAAUGUCCCUUUUUAUAAAUUGAAGAACAAGGUUUCUUUAGUAUCAGGAAAAUGUUUAUUCAGCACGAGCUGUGGUGUAUUAUAAAUAAAGGUCCAGCUGACUUAAAAAUUACCACCUGCACUGAAUUUUUCAUAAUUAUACUUGAUGUAUGCUAUUGGUAUUGAAACAUUCGUCAAUCCGUUCUCUACUUCUGUGCUUAAAACAAUAUAAAAUAUUUGUCUGACUUAAUUCAGACACCUUCAAGGCAAGCAACGUAGAAACUUACAAACUGUUUCAUAUUGGCAUAAAAGCAUCGAUCUGUCUUUGUUCUUAUGCAAGUCCUGCUCUU
ensembl:lncRNA